rnacentral:rRNA from 1 species
AGAUUAAGUUAUUAAGGGCGCACGGUGGAUGCCUUGGCACUAGAAGCCGAUGAAGGACGUUACUAACGACGAUAUGCUUUGGGGAGCUGUAAGUAAGCUUUGAUCCAGAGAUUUCCGAAUGGGGAAACCCAGCAUGAGUUAUGUCAUGUUAUCGAUAUGUGAAUACAUAGCAUAUCAGAAGGCACACCCGGAGAACUGAAACAUCUUAGUACCCGGAGGAAGAGAAAGAAAAUUCGAUUCCCUUAGUAGCGGCGAGCGAAACGGGAAGAGCCCAAACCAACAAGCUUGCUUGUUGGGGUUGUAGGACACUCUAUACGGAGUUACAAAGGACGACAUUAGACGAAUCAUCUGGAAAGAUGAAUCAAAGAAGGUAAUAAUCCUGUAGUCGAAAAUGUUGUCUCUCUUGAGUGGAUCCUGAGUACGACGGAGCACGUGAAAUUCCGUCGGAAUCUGGGAGGACCAUCUCCUAAGGCUAAAUACUCUCUAGUGACCGAUAGUGAACCAGUACCGUGAGGGAAAGGUGAAAAGCACCCCGGGAGGGGAGUGAAAUAGAACCUGAAACCGUGUGCUUACAAGUAGUCAGAGCCCGUUAAUGGGUGAUGGCGUGCCUUUUGUAGAAUGAACCGGCGAGUUACGAUUUGAUGCAAGGUUAAGCAGUAAAUGUGGAGCCGUAGCGAAAGCGAGUCUGAAUAGGGCGUUUAGUAUUUGGUCGUAGACCCGAAACCAGGUGAUCUACCCUUGGUCAGGUUGAAGUUCAGGUAACACUGAAUGGAGGACCGAACCGACUUACGUUGAAAAGUGAGCGGAUGAACUGAGGGUAGCGGAGAAAUUCCAAUCGAACCUGGAGAUAGCUGGUUCUCUCCGAAAUAGCUUUAGGGCUAGCCUCAAGUGAUGAUUAUUGGAGGUAGAGCACUGUUUGGACGAGGGGCCCCUCUCGGGUUACCGAAUUCAGACAAACUCCGAAUGCCAAUUAAUUUAACUUGGGAGUCAGAACAUGGGUGAUAAGGUCCGUGUUCGAAAGGGAAACAGCCCAGACCACCAGCUAAGGUCCCAAAAUAUAUGUUAAGUGGAAAAGGAUGUGGCGUUGCCCAGACAACUAGGAUGUUGGCUUAGAAGCAGCCAUCAUUUAAAGAGUGCGUAAUAGCUCACUAGUCGAGUGACACUGCGCCGAAAAUGUACCGGGGCUAAACAUAUUACCGAAGCUGUGGAUUGUCCUUUGGACAAUGGUAGGAGAGCGUUCUAAGGGCGUUGAAGCAUGAUCGUAAGGACAUGUGGAGCGCUUAGAAGUGAGAAUGCCGGUGUGAGUAGCGAAAGACGGGUGAGAAUCCCGUCCACCGAUUGACUAAGGUUUCCAGAGGAAGGCUCGUCCGCUCUGGGUUAGUCGGGUCCUAAGCUGAGGCCGACAGGCGUAGGCGAUGGAUAACAGGUUGAUAUUCCUGUACCACCUAUAAUCGUUUUAAUCGAUGGGGGGACGCAGUAGGAUAGGCGAAGCGUGCGAUUGGAUUGCACGUCUAAGCAGUAAGGCUGAGUAUUAGGCAAAUCCGGUACUCAUUAAGGCUGAGCUGUGAUGGGGAGAAGACAUUGUGUCUUCGAGUCGUUGAUUUCACACUGCCGAGAAAAGCCUCUAGAUAGAAAAUAGGUGCCCGUACCGCAAACCGACACAGGUAGUCAAGAUGAGAAUUCUAAGGUGAGCGAGCGAACUCUCGUUAAGGAACUCGGCAAAAUGACCCCGUAACUUCGGGAGAAGGGGUGCUCUUUAGGGUUAACGCCCAGAAGAGCCGCAGUGAAUAGGCCCAAGCGACUGUUUAUCAAAAACACAGGUCUCUGCUAAACCGUAAGGUGAUGUAUAGGGGCUGACGCCUGCCCGGUGCUGGAAGGUUAAGAGGAGUGGUUAGCUUCUGCGAAGCUACGAAUCGAAGCCCCAGUAAACGGCGGCCGUAACUAUAACGGUCCUAAGGUAGCGAAAUUCCUUGUCGGGUAAGUUCCGACCCGCACGAAAGGCGUAACGAUUUGGGCACUGUCUCAACGAGAGACUCGGUGAAAUCAUAGUACCUGUGAAGAUGCAGGUUACCCGCGACAGGACGGAAAGACCCCGUGGAGCUUUACUGUAGCCUGAUAUUGAAAUUCGGCACAGCUUGUACAGGAUAGGUAGGAGCCUUUGAAACGUGAGCGCUAGCUUACGUGGAGGCGCUGGUGGGAUACUACCCUAGCUGUGUUGGCUUUCUAACCCGCACCACUUAUCGUGGUGGGAGACAGUGUCAGGCGGGCAGUUUGACUGGGGCGGUCGCCUCCUAAAAGGUAACGGAGGCGCUCAAAGGUUCCCUCAGAAUGGUUGGAAAUCAUUCAUAGAGUGUAAAGGCAUAAGGGAGCUUGACUGCGAGACCUACAAGUCGAGCAGGGUCGAAAGACGGACUUAGUGAUCCGGUGGUUCCGCAUGGAAGGGCCAUCGCUCAACGGAUAAAAGCUACCCCGGGGAUAACAGGCUUAUCUCCCCCAAGAGUUCACAUCGACGGGGAGGUUUGGCACCUCGAUGUCGGCUCAUCGCAUCCUGGGGCUGUAGUCGGUCCCAAGGGUUGGGCUGUUCGCCCAUUAAAGCGGUACGCGAGCUGGGUUCAGAACGUCGUGAGACAGUUCGGUCCCUAUCCGUCGUGGGCGUAGGAAAUUUGAGAGGAGCUGUCCUUAGUACGAGAGGACCGGGAUGGACAUACCUCUGGUGUACCAGUUGUCGUGCCAACGGCAUAGCUGGGUAGCUAUGUGUGGACGGGAUAAGUGCUGAAAGCAUCUAAGCAUGAAGCCCCCCUCAAGAUGAGAUUUCCCAACUUCGGUUAUAAGAUCCCUCAAAGAUGAUGAGGUUAAUAGGUUCGAGGUGGAAGCAUGGUGACAUGUGGAGCUGACGAAUACUAAUCGAUCGAAGACUUAAUCAA